CUGUGCACAUACCUUAAUGUUGCCUCGGCGGAUCAGCCCGCGCCCCGUAAAACGGGACGGCCCGCCAGAGGACCCAAACUCUAAUGUUUCUUAUUGUAACUUCUGAGUAAAACAAACAAAUAAAUCAAAACUUUCAACAACGGAUCUCUUGGUUCUGGCAUCGAUGAAGAACGCAGCAAAAUGCGAUAAGUAAUGUGAAUUGCAGAAUUCAGUGAAUCAUCGAAUCUUUGAACGCACAUUGCGCCCGCUGGUAUUCCGGCGGGCAUGCCUGUUCGAGCGUCAUUUCAACCCUCAAGCCCCCGGGUUUGGUGUUGGGGAUCGGCUCUGCCUUCUGGCGGCGCCGCCCCCGAAAUACAUUGGCGGUCUCGCUGCAGCCUCCAUUGCGUAGUAGCUAACACCUCGCAACUGGAACGCGGCGCGGCCAUGCCGUAAAACCCCAACUUCUGAAUGUUGACCUCGGAUCAGGUAGGAAUACCCGCUGAACUUAAGCAUAUCAAUAGGGGUAGGAC
rnacentral:rRNA from 1 species